CUACGUGCCAGCAGCCGCGGUAAUACGUAGGUCCCGAGCGUUGUCCGGAUUUAUUGGGCGUAAAGCGAGCGCAGGCGGUUAGAUAAGUCUGAAGUUAAAGGCUGUGGCUUAACCAUAGUACGCUUUGGAAACUGUUUAACUUGAGUGCAAGAGGGGAGAGUGGAAUUCCAUGUGUAGCGGUGAAAUGCGUAGAUAUAUGGAGGAACACCGGUGGCGAAAGCGGCUCUCUGGCUUGUAACUGACGCUGAGGCUCGAAAGCGUGGGGAGCAAACAGGAUUAGAUACCCUGGUAGUCCACGCCGUAAACGAUGAGUGCUAGGUGUUAGACCCUUUCCGGGGUUUAGUGCCGUAGCUAACGCAUUAAGCACUCCGCCUGGGGAGUACGACCGCAAGGUUAAAACUCAAAUGAAUUGACGGGGGCCCGCACAAGCGGAGGAACAUGUGGUUUAAUUCGAUGAUACGCGAGGAACCUUACCCGGGCUUGAAUUGCAGAGGAAAGAUUUAGAGAUA
rnacentral:rRNA from 1 species